UUAGAUACCCUAUUAUACUAAUAUUUACUUAGAUUAUUAUUAGUUAUUUUCUUUAAAUUUGAAGAAUUUGGCGGUGAUUUAGUCUAGUUAGAGGAACCUGUUUUUGAAUCGAUAAACCACGUAAUAUUUUACUCAUUUUAAAAAGUUCAUAUACCGUCAUUAUCAGAUAAUUUUAAGAAAAUUAAUUAUUUAAAUUUAAGAGUUAAAUAAAAUUAGAUCAAGGUGUGGCCUAUAAAUGAGUUAGAAUGGGUUACAAUAAAAUUUAUUUAUGACGGAUUAUUUAAUAGAAUGGUAAUUAUGAAGGCGGAUUUAAUUGUAAUUAAGUUUUAAUAAGAUUUAAAGAUAUAAGUUCUAAAUCAUGUACAUAUCGCCCGUCGCUA
rnacentral:rRNA from 1 species